GGGCACGUGGCGGAAUUGGUAUACGCGUACGUCUCAGAAGCGUAUGGGGUAACCCAUGGGAGUUCAAGUCUCCCCGUGCCCA
rnacentral:tRNA from 1 species